UCUACCAAAGGAGAACAGCCCCUCCACU
rnacentral:tRNA from 2 species